GAGGGGGGAGUGCAGAGCCCCGCCGAGCCCAAGACUAAACACUUCAAAAGUUAAAUCUAACUCACACGCCCCAGCACCGGUGUGGUUGACACGAUGCCGAUUAGUUUGCGUUUAUGACGUUUUCUGACGUUUUAAGCGCUUACUGUACGCCCGAGAAGGGAUUUCUCGUGGGAGAGACGAGGUGUAUUUGUAAGCGUGGGGUGUCUGUGAAAUUACACUGCUGAUUCGAGUCCCGGACACCCGUCCGAGAGCGAGCUGGGACGCGGGGGCCGGUCUCUUGCCGGGAAACAUGCUCCUUAAGUGACUGGCACAGGGAAACCGUCGGCGUAGAAGCUGUCAUACUGAUGGCCCUGGACACUCCAUUGUCCAGACUGGACAAUAAUUUUUUUUUAAAGAGAUAUAGAUUUAAGUACCGAGGACAAAACCUAAAUUCCACACAUGGCAAUUGGUUGGCCAGUGCCCGAGAGCUGUGACUGGCUCCUGCAGGCUCCCUACUUCUGCUGCACUUGGAGCUUGAGUGUUGGCGCCAGGCUGCCUUCGUGGCUCUGGAGCUUGUCACAGAGAGAAAUCAAAGUGGCAACAGUAGAAAGCAAGCCCCAACACUGCCUGUUUUCUGAAAACAAAAGGGAUCCUCCUGGAGGAACUAUGGAAGGAAGUCAUGAGCCUCCUCCUGUUGGAAUAGGGGAAGGUUUUGGAUGCAGUGGAAGAGUCAGUACAAAGCACUGCAUGAAUGCUGGGUGAGUCAGUAGCACUUGGAGGCUAGAAGAGCUGUUGAGAGGCCCAACAGUGAGAAGGUAUAAAUCCUGUUAAUCUUGCCUCAGCCACUUCUACUUGAGCUCUGAGAGUUUACAAGGAGUAAAAUCUCAUUGCAGGCUUAAAAGAAGCUUGAGGUCUAUAGAUAAAAGCUGUAUGUUACACCUCGGUAUUACAAUUUUAGUUGUUAAUAAUACACAGUUUCAACAUAUAGACUGGCCAGAUACUCCAUUUGAAAGUAAGAAUUAAAUCAUGACAAGUUGUGUCACAUGACAAAAAAUUUACAGGUAGUAGCAAAAUUCUCCUUUUCUCAUGCAUAAGAGUCAUCCUUCUAAAGGGAAGCCUGCUGGAAACAUGCAAGAGGUACAUGAAAAUGGAGGGAAAGAUAAGAAGUUUAAUGGAAGAUAUUGAGUUGGAUGACUGAAGCCUUCACCAAAUAAGAAAGCAGUCUCCUAUCUACUUUCUGAUGGUGUGUAAAUGGUUGAAAUCAAAGCCCACACAUUCUCUUGCAAAUCAUGUCACAAGGAUUCUACGUGUCUAUGCCCCUGAGGUCAUGAGUGACUAUGUGUUGACCUCUGACAGACUCCUGCCGCCUUUCCUUUAAUACAGCGAGCAUACACCUCUCUAACCACGUGAGUGCUAUACAUCGCAUACUGCCUACCCUUCCUUUCUUUAUUUAGAGCGAUUUAUAGUCCCCAAAAUUUCCUAUAAU